GACGAACGCUGGCGGCGUGCUUAACACAUGCAAGUCGAACGGAAAGGCCCUGCUUUUGUGGGGUGCUCGAGUGGCGAACGGGUGAGUAACACGUGAGUAACCUGCCCUUGACUUUGGGAUAACUUCAGGAAACUGGGGCUAAUACCGGAUAGGAGCUCCUGCUGCAUGGUGGGGGUUGGAAAGUUUCGGCGGUUGGGGAUGGACUCGCGGCUUAUAAGCUUGUUGGUGGGGUAGUGGCUUACCAAGGCUUUGACGGGUAGCCGGCCUGAGAGGGUGACCGGCCACAUUGGGACUGGGAUACGGCCCAGACUCCAACGGGAGGCAGAAGUGGGGAAUGUUGCACAAUGGGCGGAAGCCUGAUGCAGCAAAGCCGCGUGCGGGAUGACGGCCUUCGGGUUGUAAUCCGCUUUCGCCUGUGACGAAGCGUGAGUGACGGUAAUGGGUAAAGAAGCACCGGCUAACUACGUG
rnacentral:rRNA from 1 species